rnacentral:rRNA from 1 species
UACUUUGGUGGCGACCGGCGCACGGGUGCGUAACGCGUAUGCAACCUACCUUUAACAGGGGCAUAACACUGAGAAAUUGGUACUAAUUCCCCAUAACAUUCGAGAAGGCAUCUUCUUGGGUUAAAAACUCCGGUGGUUAAAGAUGGGCAUGCGUUGUAUUAGCUAGUUGGUGAGGUAACGGCUCACCAAGGCAACGAUACAUAGGGGGACUGAGAGGUUAACCCCCCACAUUGGUACUGAGACACGGACCAAACUCCUACGGGAGGCAGCAG